UAACAGACAGACAGCCACGAGAACAC
rnacentral:piRNA from 1 species